UACAGAGGGUGCGAGCGUUAAUCGGAAUUACUGGGCGUAAAGCGCGCGUAGGCGGCUUUGCAAGUCGGGUGUGAAAUCCCUCGGCUUAACCAAGGAAGUGCAUCCGAAACUGCAGAGCUUGAGUACUGAAGAGGAUCGCGGAAUUCCCGGUGUAGAGGUGAAAUUCGUAGAUAUCGGGAGGAACACCAGUGGCGAAGGCGGCGAUCUGGGAAGAUACUGACGCUGAGGUGCGAAAGCGUGGGGAGCAAACAGG
rnacentral:rRNA from 1 species